AACGAACGCUGGCGGCGGGGUUUAGGCAUGCAAGUCGCGCGAGAAAGGAGCAAUCCGAGUACAGCGGCGUAAGGGUGAGUAAUGGUUAGUCAACGUACCGAGCAGACGCGAAUAAUUUCCCGAAAGGGAUUGUAAUGCGCGAUGAGACCACGGGCUGUCCGCAGCUUGGGGUCAAAGGUCGGGGAUCCUUCGGGACCCGGCGCUGUUUGAGCGGACUAUCUCUGAUUAGCUAGUUGGCGGGGUAACGGCCCACCAAGGCGAUGAUCAGUAGCCGGGCUGAGAGGCUGUCCGGCCACACGGGCACUGAGAUACUGGCCCGACUCCUACGGGAGGCUGCAGUCGCGAAUUUUUCACAAUGGGCGCAAGCCUGAUGAAGCCACGCCGCGUGCGGGAUGAAGGCCCUCUGGGUUGUAAACCGCUGUCGAGGGAGGG
rnacentral:rRNA from 1 species